rnacentral:tRNA from 1 species
UCCUUGUUAGCUCAGUUGGUUAGAGCGUUACGGCUUUUAAGCGCAUUUGCUUAAACAAGGAUACCGAAAUGUCAGGGUUCGAGCUAUGAGGAG